CGUUGGUGCUAGUUUUAUUAGCACCAACGGUUUCACCCGUUGGGACAGUUCGGUUUUUUCCAAAACAACAGAGGGAGCCCGCCCCACACCCCCAAAUUUUGUCUCCCCCCAAAUUAACAAAAUUCGAUCUCUCUCCCUCUCUGCUUCCCUCCCUCUCUCUCGCGCCAAAACCAGCGCCGUCCUCCUCCUCUCGUCGUCGUCGUCGUAGUCGGAGGUCUCUCGCCGCUUUUUCUCUCCCCUAAAAGCCCUAGUUCAUCAUCGUCGGAGCUCUCUUCACUGAUUCGAGCUCCUCCUCUGAUUUGAGCUCCUCUCGUCGUCGUCAUCAUCGUCAUCGUCGUCGCCGACCUCUCGAUUGGACGUUGAUGUUGCCACCGCUAGAAGCUCUGUCGCUCCCUCCUCUUUGGUGAAAACCCUAACCCUAAUCCCCCCUUUCCUUCCAAAACCUACUCACCGCUGGAAGCUCUGUCGCUUCCCUGAUAUUUUUCUUCAUUGAAUUUGCUUAGUUCAUUCUUAUUUUCUACUGCUUUCUUGCUUUCUAUGCUUGUAGUUUUUUUUCCUCUGGUAGAAGGUGUUGACAGAAGUUUGGUUUUGAUUUGUUUGAAAUAAAAUGAAGGUCAUUUCCUAAGGGAGAUUGGAUAUAACAGAACAUCAUAUUUAUUUUUGUUGGAUGAAGCUUGCAUAUUAUAGUAUCUAGGUUUCCUCUAUUUUGAUUGAUGUACAAGGCUUCAGUGAUGAUUGAUUCUUUAAAGUUGCCUCCUUUUAUCUUUCCAAUUACUGAAACCACUGGUAAAAUGUGGAGCUGAAGAGACAUCUGAGGAGCCCUUAAAAAGUUUGUUUUUUAAUUCAUUGUAUAAUGUUUUGUUGUUAUGAUUUUUCCCAUUGUAUUUGCUUAAUUUAUCCUUAUUUUUUGUUAUUACCUAUGCUUGUUGUAGUUUUUCUCGUGGUAGAGAUUGUUGACAGAAAUAUGGUUUUGUUCUGCUUGAUAAUUUGUGUUAUUUUUGAGAUAAGAUGGAGUUUCAUAUCCCCAAGGGAAAUUGGAUAUAACACAACAUUUUUUUUGUUUGAUGAAGCUUGCAUUAUUUAGCAUCUAGGUUUCCUCUCGUUCGAUUGAUGUGCAUAGAUCAAACUCAGUGCUUGUUACCUAGUAUAGAAUAAGGCUCCAGUGAUGAUUGAUUCUUCAAAUUUGCCACCUGUUAUCGUUCCAAUAUCUGCAGCCACUGGAUUGAUGUGGAGUUGAAGAGACAUAUGAUGAGCCUUAAAAAAUGCUGCUUUCUUUUAGUGUAAUGUAGAAUGAUUUGUUCUUACAGUGCUUUCCUAUUGUAUUUUCUUAAUUCAUCCCUAUUUUGUAUUGUUUUCUAUUGCUUUUUUUUUGUCCUUGGUAGGAAGUGUUGAGAGAAAUAUGGUUUUGAUCCAUUUCAUAACUCUGUGCUACUUUUGAGAUGAAAUGGAGGUCAUACUUACAACAUUCAUAUGUAAUUGAAUCACCAGAUAUAUGCUCCAAGAUGAACUGAAUUCUUAGGCCCAAGCUCCUUUCUUCAUGGAUUAUGACAAGAAAUUCUUGAAAUAACACAAUUUUUUGGUGUAUUCUAUCUCAAGUACGGAAUCUGUAGAUUUUAAAAAAAAGUUUCUUGUUUAAGGACGUGUACUCCAGGAUUACCUAUGGUGUGGGAUGGUGAAAUAUGCGCCUGGAUUCCAUCUCCGUGCCUUCCUCUCCAUGGUCAAGUUGACCUUCUCUACGCGAUCAUAAGGUGAAUGAUUGGCCCCCUUCUUAUCAAAGAAACGGUGGUUCCUCCAUUUUUAUCAAACAAUUAAUGGAGGAAGGAUUUUUCGACUUGAGGGGGACCCCCUCUGCCUUCUUGCAAAUAUAUAUGGCAGGAUACUACCCAAAUUUGGUACACAGGUGAUACAACAACAAAGUUCAUAGUUACUCUUGUGGAAUCAUCUAAUCGCAGAUUAAAGUACUUUACUCUUAUGUAUAUAGUUGGAUCAUUGGAUAAUGAUGGCCGGUGAGAGGUGGGAAAACCAUCUUCGGAAGCAUCAUCUUUUAGUGAGCUGAUAAAAUUUCUUCAGAGACCAUUAAAUUUGUUUAUGUAUUUGAUUUGAUGUUGUAGUCACGUGAACUAACCUGUUUAUUGAACUUGUGCCCUUUAAAUUUCUUCAGAGACUAAACUUUACAGGGACAAAUCUCCGAAAACUGUUGGAGUUGUUGAUAAAAUCAAUAUUUUUCGCCCUGACAGGAUUUUUAAGUUUCUGGUUGAGAUACACUAUCAAAUUACAAUUGCUAUUCAUCCUGGGCACAAAUGUUAUCGGUUGUCUGCCAUUGAAGCUCAUGCUGGGUACUGAUAGUACAAUCUGUGAGAUAUGAACAUGUAUGACUUUUGUCAUUAGUUGUUGAGCUUCACUUCUUAUGCUGAAUUAUUUAAGAACAUUUAAUCAUUGGGCUUUCAAGUAUGUUUCUUUUUAUCUCUUUGUGUUAUGUUAACUAGAUUCUUGUUCAACCAAUGUUUGUUAUCAAAUCUAUUGCAGUUACAUUUUCAAUAUA